CUUAGUGCGAGGCCACACCCUAAUGGUCGUGCGGGUGUCUUGUGAAAAGCCAAGGCCCACACGGCUAGAAGGGUGUGGCUUGGCGCUAAGCC